rnacentral:rRNA from 1 species
CGCGGCCUAUCAGCUUGUCGGUGGGGUAGUGGCCUACCAAGGCGACGACGGGUAGCCGGCCUGAGAGGGUGACCGGCCACACUGGGACUGAGACACGGCCCAGACUCCUACGGGAGGCAGCAGUGGGGAAUAUUGCGCAAUGGGCGGAAGCCUGACGCAGCGACGCCGCGUGGGGGAUGACGGCCUUCGGGUUGUAAACCUCUUUCAGCAGGGACGAAGCGGAAGUGACGGUACCUGCAGAAGAAGCACCGGCCAACUACGUGCCAGCAGCCGCAGUAAUACGUAGGGUGCAAGCGUUGUCCGGAAUUAUUGGGCGUAAAGAGCUCGUAGGCGGUCUGUCGCGUCGGCUGUGAAAUCCCGGAGCUCAACUCCGGGUCUGCAGUCGAUACGGGCAAACUGGAGUACUGCAGGGGAGACUGGAAUUCCUGGUGUAGCGGUGAAAUGCGCAGAUAUCAGGAGGAACACCGGUGGCGAAGGCGGGUCUCUGGGCAGUAACUGACGCUGAGGAGCGAAAGCGUGGGGAGCGAACAGGAUUAGAUACCCUGGUAGUCCACGCCGUAAACGUUGGGCGCUAGGUGUGGGGCUCAUUCCACGAGUUCCGUGCCGCAGCUAACGCAUUAAGCGCCCCGCCUGGGGAGUACG